ACGAGUGGCGGACGGGUGAGUAACGCGUAGGAAUCUACCCAGAAGCGGGGGACAACGUGGGGAAACCCACGCUAAUACCGCAUAAGCCCCACGGGGUAAAGCAGGGGAUCUUCGGACCUUGCGCUUUUGGAUGAGCCUGCGUUGGAUUAGCUAGUUGGAGAGGUAACGGCUCCCCAAGGCGACGAUCCAUAGCUGUUCUGAGAGGAAGAUCAGCCACACUGGGACUGAGACACGGCCCAG
rnacentral:rRNA from 1 species